UACCAGCACCCCGAGUGGUCGGGACGUUUAUUGGGCCUAAAGCAUCCGUAGCCGGUUCUGCAAGUCUUCCGUUAAAUCCACCUGCUUAACAGAUGGGCUGCGGAAGAUACUAUAGAGCUGGGAGGCGGGAGAGGCAAGCGGUACUCGAUGGGUAGGGGUAAAAUCCGUUGAUCCAUUGAAGACCACCAGUGGCGAAGGCGGCUUGCCAGAACGCGCUCGACGGUGAGGGAUGAAAGCUGGGGGAGCAAACCGG
rnacentral:rRNA from 1 species